rnacentral:rRNA from 1 species
GACGAACGCUGGCGGCGUGCUUAACACAUGCAAGUCGAACGGACAGGCCCUGCUUUUGUGGGGUGCUCGAGUGGCGAACGGGUGAGUAACACGUGAGUAACCUGCCCUUGACUUUGGGAUAACUUCAGGAAACUGGGGCUAAUACCGGAUAGGAGCUCCUGCUGCAUGGUGGGGGUUGGAAAGUUUCGGCGGUUGGGGAUGGACUCGCGGCUUAUCAGCUUGUUGGUGGGGUAGUGGCUUACCAAGGCUUUGACGGGUAGCCGGCCUGAGAGGGUGACCGGCCACAUUGGGACUGAGAUGCGGCCCAGACUCCUACGGGAGGCAGCAGUGGGGAAUAUUGCACAAUGGGCGGAAGCCUGAUGCAGCAACGCCGCGUGCGGGAUGACGGCCUUCGGGUUGUAAACCGCUUUCGCCUGUGACGAAGCGUGAGUGACGGUAAUGGGUAAAGAAGCACCGGCUAACUACGUG